rnacentral:rRNA from 1 species
GACGAACCGUGCGAACGUUGUUCGGAAUCACUGGGCUUAAAGGGCGCGUAGGCGGGCGAUCAAGUCGGGGGUGAAAUCUUUCGGCUCAACCGGAAAAUAGCCUUCGAUACUGGUCGUCUGGAGGGGGGUAGGGGCGUGUGGAACUUCCGGUGGAGCGGUGAAAUGCGUUGAUAUCGGAAGGAACUCCGGUGGCGAAAGCGACACGCUGGAUCUCACCUGACGCUGAGGCGCGAAAGCCAGGGGAGCGAACGGG